rnacentral:misc_RNA from 1 species
AACGCACCUUGCACCCUUUGGUAUUCCGAAGGGUAUGCUCGUUUGAGUGUCAUUGUACUCUCACACUUCCGAUUGUUUGGAUCGGGAGCGGUGGACUUGGGUGUUGCUGCGUAACUGUGGCUCACCUUAAAUGCAUUAGUGCACCUUUCGGUUGGACAUAGUACGGCGUGAUAAGUGUCUUCGCCGGCACCUCCUCACAGAGGGUGGCCGAUUGGGAGCUCUGUGCUUCAAACCGUCUUCGGACAACAACUGACAACUUGACCUCAAAUCGAGUAGGACUACCCGCUGAACUUAA